AUGGAUGAAGAGUAUGCUGCUUUAAUGAAGAACAAAACUUGGCGUCUAGUUCCACCAGCCAGAGGCAGAAAUGUAAUUGACUGCAAAUGGGUCUAUAAGGUAAAGAGGAAAUCUGAUGGCACCAUUGACAGAUACAAGGCACGUCUGGUUGCUAAAGGAUUUAAGCAGAGGUAUGGGAUUGACUAUGAGGAUACAUUUAGUCCAGUGGUAAAAGCUGCUACUAUUAGAUUGAUUCUUUCAGUUGCAGUAUCUAGAGGUUGGUGCAUAAGACAACUAGAUGUAAAGAACGCGUUCUUGCAUGAUGUUCUGGAAGAGGAAGUAUUCAUGAGACAACCUCCUGGGUAUGAGAAUCCAAAUGCACCACGUCAUAUUUGCAAACUUGAUAAGGCACUGUAUGGACUAAAACAAGCACCUAGAGCUUGGUACUCUCGGCUCUCCUCUAAGUUACAAUCACUUGGAUUUACUCCCUCAAAGGGAGAUACCUCAUUGUUUUUCUAUCACCGACGUGGGAUAACCAUUUUUAUGCUUAUUUAUGUUGAUGAUAUAGUUGUCACUAGUUCAUCAUCUAAAGCAGUUGAAGCUCUUCUUAUGGACUUGAGCAAGGAGUUUGCAUUUAAGGAUCUUGGUAGUCUUCACUUCUUCCUUGGAAUUGAGGUAAAGAAUGCAAAAGAUGGAAUUGUGUUGUCACAAGGAAAAUAUGUGCAGGAAAUACUUCAGAGAAUGGGCAUGAAAGGAUGUAAGCCGUCAUCUACACCUUUGUCUACCUCUGAGAAAAUGUCUCUUCAUGAUGGAGAGAUCCUUGGAGCAGAGGACUCCACCAGGUACAGAAGUAUUGUAGGAGCAUUACAGUAUUUGACAUUAACUAGACCAGAUAUCUCAUAUUCAGUAAAUAAAGUAUGUCAGUUCUUACAUGCUCCUACUAGUGCACAUUGGAGUGCAGUAAAGAGGAUACUUAGAUAUCUUCAAGGGACCUAG
rnacentral:rRNA from 1 species